UGCAAGCUGUUCUUGUUUGGGACUUUGAUGGUGGCACCAGCAGCAGCAGUCAGGAAGGUUAUUUGUGCAUUCAAUUAGAGGCCUUGCAAAACCAAGGACAUUUGUUGGAUCGGUUUUCAGCCAAAUGCUUUCAGGUUAGACAGAAGUGUCUAUGGCCCUCAGACCUGAGAAUAUGUUUUUAUACGUGGGGUAGGCCCGUGGUGUAGUGAUCUAGACUGUUGAUCUGAUGGCCCAUUUUGGAAUUGGGAAUUUCCAAAAAAUCUCACUGAUAUGACAAUCCUAACUGAUUGGGAAGAAGAAACAACAAUAGCUUCAAGAUGUGCCGAGAUCUCGAAGCCCGACUGGCUGCUGCAGAGGCAGAAAGGGUAGCAGCUGAACAGGAGAAGCGUGAAAAGGAGGAAUCUUU